rnacentral:lncRNA from 1 species
UAGCCUUGCUGGGGGGCGCGGGCGACGUUCGUCCGCCGGACUCGGAAUGCGGCGAGACUUUGCGAGGGGCCUCGGGGUGCCAAAAAUAAGCCGCGGGCAAAGCCAAAAAAUGGGGCGAGAAAAAUGGUAAAGUCCCCCCACCAAGCGCCCGAAGGUCAUGGUGCCGAAACCCCCCAGCGGAAAAAUGGCCAAAAAACGGGUGGGCUAUAGCCUUGGUGGGGGGCGCGGGCGAAGUUCGUCCGCCGGACUCGGAAUGCGGCGAGACUUUGCGAGGGGCCUCGGGGUGCCAAAAAUAAGCCGCGGGCAAAGCAGCGCCCGAAGGUCAUGGUGCCAAAACCCCCUAGCGGAAAAAUGGCCAAAAAAAAGGUGGGCUAUAACCUUGGUGGGGGGCGCGGGCGACGUUCGUCCGCCGGACUCGGAAUGCGGCGAGACUUUGCGAGGGGCCUCGGGGUGCCAAAAAUAAGCCGCGGGCAAAGCCGCGCCCAGAAAUAAGCGCCCGAAGGUCGUGGUGCCAAAACCCCCCAGCGGAAAAAUGGCCAAAAAACGGGUGGGCUAUAGCCUUGGUGGGGGGCGCGGGCGAAGUUCGUCCGCCGGACUCGGAAUGGGGCGAGACUUUGCGAGGGGCCUCGGGGUGCCAAAAAUAAGCCGCGGGCAAAGCCGCGCCCAAAAAUAAGCGCCCGAAGGUCGUGGUGUCAAAACCCCCCAGCGGAAAAAUGGCCAAAAAACGGGUGGGCUAUAGCCUUGGUGGGGGGCGCAGGCGAAGUUCGUCCGCCGGACUCGGAAUGCGGCGAGACUUUGCGAGGGGCCUCGGGGUGCCAAAAAUAAGCCGCGGGCAAAGCCGCGCCCGAAGGUCGUGGUGCCAAAACCCCUCAGCGGAAAAAUGGCCAAAAAACGGGUGGGCUAUAGCCUUGAUGGGGGGCGCGGGCGACGUUCGUCCGCCGGACUCGGAAUGCGGCGAGACUUUGCGAGGGGCCUCGGGGUGCCAAAAAUAAGCCGCGGGCAAAGCCGCGCCCAAAAAUAAGCGCUCGAAGGUCGUGGUGCCAAAACCCCCUAGCGGAAAAAUGGCCAAAAAACGGGUGGGCUAUAGCCUUGGUGGGGGGCGCGGGCGACGUUCGUCCGCCGGACUCGGAAUGCGGCGAGACUUUGCGAGGGGCCUCGGGGUGCCAAAAAUAAGCCGCGGGCAAAGCCGCGCCCAGAAAUAAGCGCCCGAAGGUCGUGGUGCCAAAACCCCCCAGCGGAAAAAUGGCCAAAAAACGGGUGGGCUAUAGCCUUGGUGGGGGGCGCGGGCGAAGUUUGUCCGCCUGACUCGGAAUGGGGCGAGACUUUGCGAGGGGACUCGGGGUGCCAAAAAUAAGCCGCGGGCAAAGCCGCGCCCAAAAAUAAGCGCCCGAAGGUCGUGGUGCCAAAAACCCCCAGCGGAAAAAUGGCCAAAAAACGGGUGGGCUAUAACCUUGGUGGGGGGCGCGGGCGAAGUUCGUCCGCCGGACUCGGAAUGGGACGAGACUUUGCGAGGGGCCUCGGGGUGCCAAAAAUAAGCCGCGGGCACAGCCGCGCCCAAACAUAAGCGCCCGAAGGUCGUGGUGCCAAAACCCCCCAGCGGAAAAAUGGCCAAAAAACGGGUGGGCUAUAGCCUUGAUGGGGGGCGCGGGCGACGUUCGUCCGCCGGACUCGGAAUGCGGCGAGACUUUGCGAGGGGCCUCGGGGUGCCAAAAAUAAGCCGCGGGCAAAGCCAAAAAAUGGGGCGAGAAAAAUGGUAAAGUCCCCCCACCAAGCGCCCGAAGGUCGUGGUGCCGAAACCCCCCAGCGGAAAAAUGGCCAAAAAACGGGUGGGCUAUAGCCUUGGUGGGGGGCGCGGGCGAAGUUCGUCCGCCGGACUCGGAAUGCGGCGAGACUUUGCGAGGGGCCUCGGGGUGCCAAAAAUAAGCCGCGGGCAAAGCCGCGCCCAAAAAUAAGCGCCCGAAGGUCGUGGUGCCAAAACCCCCCAGCGGAAAAAUGGCCAAAAAAUGGGUGGGCUAUAGCCUUGGUGGGGGGCGCGGGCGAAGUUCUUCCGCCGGACUCGGAAUGCGGCGAGACUUUGCGAGGGGCCUCGGGGUGCCAAAAAUAAGCCGCGGGCAAAGCCGCGCCCAAAAAUAAGCGCCCGAAGGUCGAGGUGCCAAAACCCCCCAGCGGAAAAAUGGCCAAAAAACGGGUGGGCUAUAGCCUUGGUGCGGGGCGCGGGCGACGUUCGUCCGCCGGACUCGGAAUGGGGCGAGACUUUGCGAGGGGCCUCGGGGUGCCAAAAAUAAGCCGCGGGCAAAGCUGCGCCCAAAAAUACGCGCCCGAAGGUCGUGGUGCCAAGACCCCCCAGCGGAAAAAUGGCCAAAAAACGGGUGGGCUAUAGCCUUGGUGGGGGGCGCGGGCGAAGUUCGUCCGCCGGACUCGGAAUGCGGCGAGACUU